CCCUACGGGGUGCUCAUGCUGCUCGGCGGGUUCCUGGUGAGAAUGCCGCUGUGGGUCACCAGGUUCACCGCCCGGACGCUGGGAGGAUUCGUGUUCGACGUGCUGCGGAUCCGUCGGCGGGUCACGCUGGACAAUCUCGCGCGGGCGCUGGGCGAUGAGGUUCUGCCGGCCGAACGGGUGCGCAUCGCGCGCGGGUCGUACCGGAACAUCGCCACGACGUUUGCCGAACUGCUGGUCUACCCCCGGAUCCGGCCGCGCAUGGACGAAUUCAUCGACAUGCGGGAGGCCGCCGUGCUCCGGGAUCUGCAUGCAAGAGGCCGGGGACUCAUCCUCAUCGCGUUCCAUUACGGCAGUUGGGAAUUGGCGGGAGGGC
rnacentral:rRNA from 1 species